AUACCCUAUUAUAAAUUAAGUAAUUUAUUAACUAGACUUUAAAUAUAUAAUAAAUCAAAGAAUUUGGCGGUUAAUUAACCAAAUUAGAGGAACUUGUAUUAUAAUCGAUACACCACGAUCUAUUUUACUUAAUUAAGCUUGUAUACCGCUAUCUAAUAGGAUUUUUUUAAAAAAAUUAAUCUUUCAUUUUACUAAAUUAAUUUUAAGUCAAGGUGCAGCUAAUUUUUAAGAAAAUAUGAGUUACAUUUUAAGCUUUAUAAAUUUGGAAAUUAAUAAUUUAAUUUUAAAUAAAAAAGGAUUUAAAAGUAAAAUUUAUUAAUUAAUAAAUUUGAAAGUGUUCUAAUUAAUGUACACAUC
rnacentral:rRNA from 1 species